rnacentral:rRNA from 1 species
GUACAUGCCUACAAUGUAGCGUUAAUGCACAGUAUCCCAUUAGAACUCCAUAGUUAAGCGCGCUCAUCCUAGAGUAGUAUUGGGAUGGGUGACCACUCGGGAAGUCCUAGUGUUUUAAAUG